rnacentral:rRNA from 1 species
GAUGAACGCUAGCGGCAGGCCUAACACAUGCAAGUCGAGGGGUAGAAGGAGCUUGCUCCUUUGAGACCGGCGCACGGGUGCGUAACGCGUAUGCAAUCUACCUUGUACAGGGGAAUAGCCCAGAGAAAUUUGGAUUAAUGCCCCAUAGUAUAUAACCUUCGCAUGUUGGUUAUAUUAAAGUUCCAACGGUACAAGAUGAGCAUGCGUCCCAUUAGUUAGUUGGUAAGGUAACGGCCUACCAAGACGAUGAUGGGUAGGGGUCCUGAGAGGGAGAUCCCCCACACUGGUACUGAGACACGGACCAGACUCCUACGGGAGGCAGCAGUGAGGAAUAUUGGUCAAUGGUCGCAAGACUGAACCAGCCAUGCCGCGUGCAGGAAGACGGUCCUAUGGAUUGUAAACUGCUUUUAUACAGGAAGAAACCCUCCCACGUGUGGGAGCUUGACGGUACUGUAGGAAUAAGGAUCGGCUAACUCCGUG